GAACUUAGCUUAGUGGCGAACGGGUGAGUAACGCGUGAGUAACCUGCCUUUCAGAGGGGGAUAACGUUCUGAAAAGAACGCUAAUACCGCAUAAUAUAUUGGUGUCGCAUGGCACCGGUAUCAAAGGAGCAAUCCGCUGAAAGAUGGACUCGCGUCCGAUUAGCCAGUUGGCGGGGUAAAGGCCCACCAAAGCGACGAUCGGUAGCCGGGUUGAGAGACUGAACGGCCACAUUGGGACUGAGACACGGCCCAGACUCCUACGGGAGGCAGCAGUGGGGGAUGUUGCACAAUGGAGGAAACUCUGAUGCANCAAUGCCGCGUGAGGGAAGACGGUCUUCGGAUUGUAAACCUCUGUCCUUGGUGAANAUAAUGACGGUAGCCAAGGAGGAAGCUCCGGCUAACUACGUGCCANCAGCCGCGGUAAUACGUANGGAGCAAGCGUUGUCCGGAUUUACUGGGUGUAAAGGGUGCGU
rnacentral:rRNA from 1 species